GGAGAAACUCUUCUCUCUCCCCGCACAGCCGCUCUGGAACGGCAAACUGCUGAAGGUAAGAGACCGGAGGAGUGGAGAAACUCUUCUCUCUCCCCGCACAGCCGCUCUGGAACGGCAAACUGCUGAAGGUAAGAGACAGGAGGAGAUCAACGCACAGCCGCUCUGGAACAGCAAACUGCUGAAGGUAAGAGACAGGAGGAGAUCAACGCACAGCAAACUGCUGAAGGUAAGAGACAGGAGGAGAUCAACUCACAGCAAACUGCUGAAGGUAAGAGACAGGAGGAGAUCAACGCACAGCAAACUGCUGAAGGUAAGAGACAGGAGGAGAUCAACACACAGCAAACUGUUGAAGGUAAGAGACAGGAGGAGAUCAACUCACAGCAAACUGUUGAAGGUAAGAGACAGGAGGAG